rfam:Cephalotus follicularis DNA, scaffold: scaffold2344, isolate: St1.
CGUUGGCUUAGUUGGGAGGCACAAAUUAAUAGAUCAUAAUCGAUCUUCUCGGGCUUUUUGAGAGGACAUUGUGAUUUCUUAUUACUUGUCCUUCAAGCAGGCUUGAAACAUUU